rnacentral:ncRNA from 1 species
AAAGACUUAGUCCUAACCUUACAGUUAGUUCUUGCUAGACAUAUACAUGCAAGUAUCCGCAUACCAGUGUAAAUGCCCAAACCCCUUACCAAGACAAAAGGAGCAGGCAUCAGGCUCACCCUCGUAGCCCAAGACGCCUUGCCGCAGCCACACCCCCACGGGUAUUCAGCAGUAAUUGAUCUUAAGCAAUGAGUGAAAACUCGACUUAGCCAUAGCAACUUUCCACCCAAGGGCUGGUCAACCUUGUGCCAGCCACCGCGGCCAUACAAGAAGCCCAAACUAACUGCAUGCGGCGUAAAGAGUGGCACAGCACUAUCUAACCAACUAGGACCAAAAUGCAACCAAGCCGUCACAAGCCCAAGCUGCACACAAGCCCCCUCUCAAAACGGUCCCAGCACCACAGACCGACUGCCCCCACGAAAGCCAGGGCACAAACUAGGAUUAGAUACCCUACUAUGCCUGGCCCUAAAUCUAGAUGUCACCUCCCACCUAACAUCCGCCCGAGAACUACGAGCACAAACGCUUAAAACUCUAAGGACUUGGCGGUGCCCUACACCCACCUAGAGGAGCCUGUCCUAUAAUCGAUACCCCACGAUACACCCGACCGCUCCUUGCAAGGCAGCCUACAUACCGCCGUCGCCAGCCCACCUCAUUGAAAGAACAACAGUGAGCACAAUAGCCCACCACCACUAACAAGACAGGUCAAGGUAUAGCCAAUGGACCGGAAGAGAUGGGCUACAUUUCCUAAACUAGGAAACUACGAAAGGGGACAUGAAACCGCCCCCUGAAGGAGGAUUUAGCAGUAAAACGGGACAAUCAUGCCCCAUUUAAGCCGGCCCUAGGGCACGUACAUACCGCCCGUCACCCUCCUCAUAAGCCACCCAACCCCCAUACAUAUCUAACCCAACAAUCCGCUUAACAGACGAGGUAAGUCGUAACAAGGUAAGUGUACCGGAAGGUGUACUUAGCAUAC